UACGGGGGGGGCCAGCGUUGUUCGGAAUUACUGGGCGUAAAGGGCGUGUAGGCGGCCCACUAAGUCAGACGUGAAAUCCCUCGGCUCAACCGGGGAACUGCGUCUGAUACUGGAGGGCUUGAAUUCGGGAGAGGGAUGCGGAAUUCCAGGUGUAGCGGUGAAAUGCGUAGAUAUCUGGAGGAACACCGGUGGCGAAGGCGGCAUCCUGGACCGAUAUUGACGCUUAAGCGCGAAAGCCAGGGGAGCAAACGGG
rnacentral:rRNA from 1 species